rnacentral:ncRNA from 1 species
UCACCUAUUUUUCUUAAACUCAGGUUAUAAUAGGCAAUGGUAAAUGGGGCUGUGGCUCAGUUGGAUAGAGCAAGCGCCUCCUGAGCAAUCGGGCAUCCUGUACGGAAACGUCAGGCAUGAAUGUGGUCAAAUUCAAGGAAGCCUAAGUCUAGACAUUAGAUAGGGUAAUCUUGAGCCAAGCUCUACGUCCCUGGUAGAGAAGGUGCAGAGACUGGUUAUCAGUGACCUAGGGGAAAUUUGAAUUAAGGGUAUAACAACAACGCUGAUAACGUAACGGCCACCACCUACGGAUAAAAAAUUAUCUAGGGUGAAGGAAUAGUCCAGAGAGUAGGGAAACCUACAC